AAGUUUGAUCCUGGCUCAGAUUGAACGCUGGCGGCAUGCCUUACACAUGCAAGUCGAACGGUAACGCGGGGCAACCUGGCGACGAGUGGCGAACGGGUGAGUAACGCAUCGGAACGUGCCCAGUAGUGGGGGAUAGCUCGGCGAAAGCCGGAUUAAUACCGCAUACGACCUACGGGUGAAAGCGGGGGAUCGCAAGACCUCGCGCUAUUGGAGCGGCCGAUGUCAGAUUAGGUUGUUGGUGGGGUAAAGGCCUACCAAGCCGACGAUCUGUAGCUGGGCUGAGAGGACGACCAGCCACACUGGGACUGAGACACGGCCCAGACUCCUACGGGAGGCAGCAGUGGGGAAUUUUGGACAAUGGGGGAAACCCUGAUCCAGCCAUGCCGCGUGCGGGAAGAAGGCCUUCGGGUUGUAAACCGCUUUUGGCGGGGAAGAAACGGUCUGCGCUAAUACCGCGGGCUAAUGACGGUACCCGAAGAAUAAGCACCGGCUAACUACGUGCCAGCAGCCGCGGUAAUACGUAGGGUGCGAGCGUUAAUCGGAAUUACUGGGCGUAAAGCGUGCGCAGGCGGUAAUGCAAGACAGAUGUGAAAUCCCCGGGCUUAACCUGGGAACUGCAUUUGUGACUGCAUUGCUGGAGUGCGGCAAGGGGGAUGGAAAUUCCGCGUGUAUCAGUGAAAUGCGUAAUAUGCGGAGGACACCGAUGGCGAAGGCAAUCCCCUGGGCCUGCCCUGACGCUCAUGCACGAAAGCGUGGGGAGCAAAAGGAUUACGUACUCGGGAGCCCAUU
rnacentral:rRNA from 1 species